CAAAUCAGAGAAAAAUUCAUCUAACAUUGGUAUAAAUUCGUCUAACAUUGGUAUCAUUUGAGAUAAAUUCUAAUUUUAAAAAUCAAACUAUCAAGAUCAAACUAUAAUAAAAUUAUAAAAUAAAAAAUAUACCUUUAAAUUUAAAAUCCAUAUUUCUAAUAAACGUUAUCAAGUUUUUAUAAUUGUCCUGAUAAGAACGGUUAUGUGGAAAGCUAUUAACUUCUCUAAAUAAUUCACAAUUGACAUUGCCGAUCCAUGUUUUCUUUAUAUCACGGAAAUAGUCAGAUAUAUACCUAACUCUGUAAAAAUCAUAGUCAGAUAUAUACCUAGGCGUCGCAUAGGCGGUCAUGCGCUCCAGGUCGGAUCCGCCUAACCCAAUAACCCAUUUAAAUGACUUAAGUCAUUUAAAUAAAAGGGUGAGGGUUUAAAAAACCUUAACUCCUCUCUUAUUUCUUCUUUCUUCCUCUUUUCUUCCCUUCCCUCAUACAUUUGAACCCCAAACCCUAGAUUUUCAGAUCAUCUCCCCCAUCUAUUUUCUCCGGCCAUCUUCUAGGGAGACUUCGGCCACCACAAGGGAACACUCCGGCGACCUCCACACGUGCUCCGACGAAGUCUAGGCAUGCUCCGGCGACCCUCCGGCCAUCGUCGACCUAGGUAUUUUUUGUCCCAAAUUUUUUUCCUAUGUGCCCCCUAUCUGUCCAAACCUAUAUCUCACUCCGGACAGUCAUAAAUCGCACUCCGGCACUCUUAAAGAACACUCCGGCGAUCACUUAAAAAAACACUCCGGACUUUUCUUGACCAUAUCAGGUGGGAAAGAGUUGGUGAGAUGCGGAGUCACAAGAUUCGCAACGUCUUUUCUCACAUUACAGAGUUUGAAAGAACAGAGGGAAAAUUUGAAGAAGAUUGAUUGGCUACCAUGGGCUAAUGUGACUUGUGGAAGUGAAGUGCAAAAAUUAGUCUGAACCAACUCUUUCUGGUUGAGCCUAUACGAGUGUUUGGCCGUUUCUGAACCUCUAGUGAGGUUGCUGAGAUUAGUUGACCAAGAUGACAAACCAUGCAUGGGCAGAAUUCUGAAUGACUUGAAGAUGGCAAGGAAGCACACUAGAGAUAUGUUGAAAGACAAGAAUCUGCCAUUGCUAACCCAAAUUGACAAGAUCUUCGAUAAGAGUAGGUUUGCUGAAAUGCUUCUCCCAACGCUUAACCCGGAUUUCGGUCGAUUCGACAAGAUUCGACCCGGAUCCGCCUAACCCGCUCCAGCGCAUGACCGCCUAGGCGUCGCAUGAAAAACUAUGGUCAUGACCACCGCAUGAACACAUGAAAAAGCUUGGUAAAAAUCAAGGUUUAAAAACCGACGGUUAACCGGCUGACCGGUAAAAAAUUAAAAACCGGUGGCCGGUUAAUUGGGACGGGUAAAUGGGUUGAUGGGUCGGGUCUUACCCGAACCCAACCCGAAUACCCAACCCGGUUUCAAUAAAAUAAUAUUUAUUUAAUCUGUUUUAAUUUGUUUUUUUUAAAGACUUCAUUUAAUAAAGCCCAUUACGUUUUAUUAAUAAGUUAUUUUAAGGCCUCAUUUAAAGGCCUUAUUUUAAUAAGUUUAAAUUUUAUAAGCCUCUCCUUAUAAGUUAUUAGACCUCAUUUGAAUUACUAUUUUGAAUUACUAUAUUGUUUAUGAUAUUUUUAUUUAUAUAAACAUGGAUAUAAACAUGGAAUAGAUAUAUAAGUAUAUAACAGAAUUUCUGUUUUAAAAAAAAAUUACGAAAAUACCCCUAUCGGUUAACCAGUGGUCUAACCGGUAAGCCAGAACCGAUUACCGGUUAACCGGUUUUUAAACCUUGGUAAAAAUAAAGAUAAAAGAAUUGAUAUUAGUUUAAAAGUUCAACAAAUAUAUUAUAUUCUAUUAUUAAUUUAAAAUACCUAUAUUCAUGACCAUAUAUCUUAAAAUGUUCAUUCAACCUUUUCAAAGUCUUCACAUUUUUGUAUGUGACCACAAUGUUCAAAACAUUGAAUAUUCUGCAAUUAAAAAUAAAUAUUAUAUGAAUAUUUCAUUUUUAAUAUAUAAUAUAAACUAAAAAUAAAUGACUUACGAGUUAAAUUUAUUUAAGCUUCCAAAGAAAUGUGUAAAAGAGCUUCCAUAUUCUUGUAAUGACAACCGUCGAUGAGCACACAAAUCAGAGAAAAAAUCAUCUAAUAUUGGUAUAAAAUCAUCUGUAUCAUUUGAGAUAAAUUCUAAUUUAAAAAAUCAAACUAUCAAAAUCAAACUAUAAUGAAACUAUAAAAUAAAAAAUAUACCUUUAAAUUUUAAAUUCAUUGUUGACGAUAACGUUGUAAUAUAAAAAGUCCCUUUUUGACGAAAAUAGAAUUUGUUGUAAGCUUAAUCGGGAACAUUUCAUUACUUUCAGAGUGAGAUAAUCCAUUGAAAAUAUUUCUAUAUAAAAAAGAUCAAUUAAAAAAAAUUAACGUUAUAUAAAAUUAUGUAAUAAAAUACCUUAAUAUUUCACUCAAUGCGUUAUAAUAUGCAUCUUUUACUU
rnacentral:lncRNA from 1 species